GACGAACGCUGGCGGCGUGCUUAACACAUGCAAGUCGAACGGAAAGGCCCUGCUUUUGUUGGGUGCUCGAGUGGCGAACGGGGGAGUAACACGUGAGUAACCUGCCCUUGACAUAGGGGUAAAUUCUGGAGACUGGGGCUAAUAUCGGGUAGGAGCUACUGCUGCAUGGGGGGGGUUGGAAAGUUUCGGCGGUUGGGGAUGGACUCGCGGCUUAUCAGCUUGUUGGUGGGGUAGUGGCUUUCCAAGGCUUUGACGGGUAGCCGGCCUGGGAGGGGGACCGGCGACAUGGGGACUGAGAUACGGCCCAGACUCCUACGGUACGCAGCAGGCGGGAAUCUUGCGCAAUGGCCGGGCGCGUGAUGUAGCAACGCUGCGUGCGUAAUGACGGCCUUCGGGUGGUGAACCGCUGUGUACUGUGAUGAAGCGUGAUUGACGGUAAUUGGUAAAGAAGCACCGGCUAACUACGUG
rnacentral:rRNA from 1 species